CGUUCCCCGGGUCUUGUACACACCGCCCGUCACACCAUGGGAGCGGGGUACACCAGAAGUAGGUAGGCUAACCGCAAGGGGCCGUUUACCACGGUGCGCUUCGUGACUGGGGUG
rnacentral:rRNA from 1 species